AGCGAACGCUGGCGGCAUGCUUAACACAUGCAAGUCGAACGCUUGUUGGGGCUUCGACUCCAACAGGAGUGGCGCACGGGUGAGUAGCGCGUGGGAACCUGCCCUCUUGUGGGGGAUAACCGAGGGAAACCUCGGCUAAUACCGCAUAAGCCGGCCGGUCUAGAGAUAGAUUGGCCGGGAAAGAUUUAUCGCGAGAGGAGGGGCCCGCGUCGGAUUAGCUUGUUGGUGGGGUAACGGCCUACCAAGGCGAUGAUCCGUAGCUGGUCUGAGAGGAUGAUCAGCCACACUGGGACUGAGACACGGCCCACGACUCCUACGGGAGGCAGCAGUGGGGAAUAUUGGACAAUGGGCGCAAGCCUGAUCCAGCAAUGCCGCGUGAGUGAGGAAGGCCUUAGGGUUGUAAAGCUCUUUCACCCGCGACGAUGAUGACGGUAGCGGGAGAGAAGCCCGGCUAACUUCGUGCCAGCAGCAGCCG
rnacentral:rRNA from 1 species